GAGUCCAGACCGAGACCCAGAGAAAUGUAAACAAACGCACCAGUCAGACUUGAUAUAGGAGUGAAUUUGUUGCUUUUUAAAGCGGCAGUCGGUCUGUACAUGUGUGAGGUGGCGAGGGGUGUCGCCAGGGGGCGGCUAGUAGCGUCUGCCACCAGGGAAAUAUGUAAAAACAUAAAAAAGACGCUUCUCAAGAAAGAGAGGGGCAGUCGGUCUGUACAUGCGUGAGGUGGCGAGAGGCGUGUCCAGGGGGCGGCUAGUAGCGUGUGCCACCGUGGAAAUAUGUACAGACAUAAAGAAGACGCCCUCAAGAAAGGCCUGAGUCCAGACCGAGACCCAGAGAAAUGUAAACAAACGCACCAGUCAGACUUGAUAUAGGAGUGAAUUUGUUGCUUUUUAAAGCGGCAGUCGGUCUGUACAUGUGUGAGGUGGCGAGGGGUGUCGCCAGGGGGCGGCUAGUAGCGUCUGCCACCAGGGAAAUAUGUAAAAACAUAAAAAAGACGCUUCUCAAGAAAGAGAGGGGCAGUCGGUCUGUACAUGCGUGAGGUGGCGAGAGGCGUGUCCAGGGGGCGGCUAGUAGCGUGUGCCACCGUGGAAAUAUGUACAGACAUAAAGAAGACGCCCUCAAGAAAGGCCUGAGUCCAGACCGAGACCCAGAGAAAUGUAAACAAACGCACCAGUCAGACUUGAUAUAGGAGUGAAUUUGUUGCUUUUUAAAGCGGCAGUCGGUCUGUACAUGUGUGAGGUGGCGAGGGGUGUCGCCAGGGGGCGGCUAGUAGCGUCUGCCACCAGGGAAAUAUGUAAAAACAUAAAAAAGACGCUUCUCAAGAAAGAGAGGGGCAGUCGGUCUGUACAUGCGUGAGGUGGCGAGAGGCGUGUCCAGGGGGCGGCUAGUAGCGUGUGCCACCGUGGAAAUAUGUACAGACAUAAAGAAGACGCCCUCAAGAAAGGCCUGAGUCCAGACCGAGACCCAGAGAAAUGUAAACAAACGCACCAGUCAGACUUGAUAUAGGAGUGAAUUUGUUGCUUUUUAAAGCGGCAGUCGGUCUGUACAUGUGUGAGGUGGCGAGGGGUGUCGCCAGGGGGCGGCUAGUAGCGUCUGCCACCAGGGAAAUAUGUAAAAACAUAAAAAAGACGCUUCUCAAGAAAGAGAGGGGCAGUCGGUCUGUACAUGCGUGAGGUGGCGAGAGGCGUGUCCAGGGGGCGGCUAGUAGCGUGUGCCACCGUGGAAAUAUGUACAGACAUAAAGAAGACGCCCUCAAGAAAGGCCUGAGUCCAGACCGAGACCCAGAGAAAUGUAAACAAACGCACCAGUCAGACUUGAUAUAGGAGUGAAUUUGUUGCUUUUUAAAGCGGCAGUCGGUCUGUACAUGUGUGAGGUGGCGAGGGGUGUCGCCAGGGGGCGGCUAGUAGCGUCUGCCACCAGGGAAAUAUGUAAAAACAUAAAAAAGACGCUUCUCAAGAAAGAGAGGGGCAGUCGGUCUGUACAUGCGUGAGGUGGCGAGAGGCGUGUCCAGGGGGCGGCUAGUAGCGUGUGCCACCGUGGAAAUAUGUACAGACAUAAAGAAGACGCCCUCAAGAAAGGCCUGAGUCCAGACCGAGACCCAGAGAAAUGUAAACAAACGCACCAGUCAGACUUGAUAUAGGAGUGAAUUUGUUGCUUUUUAAAGCGGCAGUCGGUCUGUACAUGUGUGAGGUGGCGAGGGGUGUCGCCAGGGGGCGGCUAGUAGCGUCUGCCACCAGGGAAAUAUGUAAAAACAUAAAAAAGACGCUUCUCAAGAAAGAGAGGGGCAGUCGGUCUGUACAUGCGUGAGGUGGCGAGAGGCGUGUCCAGGGGGCGGCUAGUAGCGUGUGCCACCGUGGAAAUAUGUACAGACAUAAAGAAGACGCCCUCAAGAAAGGCCUGAGUCCAGACCGAGACCCAGAGAAAUGUAAACAAACGCACCAGUCAGACUUGAUAUAGGAGUGAAUUUGUUGCUUUUUAAAGCGGCAGUCGGUCUGUACAUGUGUGAGGUGGCGAGGGGUGUCGCCAGGGGGCGGCUAGUAGCGUCUGCCACCAGGGAAAUAUGUAAAAACAUAAAAAAGACGCUUCUCAAGAAAGAGAGGGGCAGUCGGUCUGUACAUGCGUGAGGUGGCGAGAGGCGUGUCCAGGGGGCGGCUAGUAGCGUGUGCCACCGUGGAAAUAUGUACAGACAUAAAGAAGACGCCCUCAAGAAAGGCCUGAGUCCAGACCGAGACCCAGAGAAAUGUAAACAAACGCACCAGUCAGACUUGAUAUAGGAGUGAAUUUGUUGCUUUUUAAAGCGGCAGUCGGUCUGUACAUGUGUGAGGUGGCGAGGGGUGUCGCCAGGGGGCGGCUAGUAGCGUCUGCCACCAGGGAAAUAUGUAAAAACAUAAAAAAGACGCUUCUCAAGAAAGAGAGGGGCAGUCGGUCUGUACAUGCGUGAGGUGGCGAGAGGCGUGUCCAGGGGGCGGCUAGUAGCGUGUGCCACCGUGGAAAAUAU